UACAGAGGUCUCAAGCGUUGUUCGGAUUCAUUGGGCGUAAAGGGUGCGUAGGUGGCGUCGUAAGUCAGGUGUGAAAUUUCGGAGCUUAACUCCGAAACUGCAUUUGAUACUGCGGUGCUUGAGGACUGGAGAGGAGACUGGAAUUUACGGUGUAGCAGUGAAAUGCGUAGAGAUCGUAAGGAAGACCAGUGGCGAAGGCGGGUCUCUGGACAGUUCCUGACACUGAGGCACGAAGGCCCAGGGGGAGCAAAACGGG
rnacentral:rRNA from 1 species